ensembl:lncRNA
GGGUCUCUCUCUCUCUCUGUGUGUUUGUAGUCUCUCGAUGGAGAGGGGUCAUUUAGCUGGAGGGGGUCUCUCUCUCUCUCUGUGUGUUUGUAGUCUCUCGAUGGAGAGGGGUCAUUUAGCUGGAGGGGGUCUCUCUCUCUCUCUGUGUGUUUGGGGUCUCUCUCUCUCUCUCUGUGUGUUUGUAGUCUCUCGAUGGAGAGGGGUCAUUUAGCUGGAGGGGGUCUCUCUCUCUCUUUGUGUGUUUGUAGUCUUCAGUGUGUAAAAUGUAACCACACUUAAACACACUUAAAUGCUGAACACGCAGAUGUUGGGGUACUCACCAACCGGUCGAAGCAACCGGGAGAAGCUGGAUCAGGGUAGAGGGCCAGAACAAACCCUGGUCACGCCAAACACCAGGUUGAAUAAAGGUAAGCUAAGAGGUAUCAAGAGCAGUUAGAGAAAGUAUUUAAUAGGGUUAAAACAAAAGGCAGAAGGGCCUCGACAGCGGGGCUCCGGCGGGAGACAAUCGCGGGCAACAAUCCCUUUCUCCUCCAUGUCGUGGUUCAGUCCACUUCAGAUUGAUAGAUUGAUGUGGACGUGGAAGAACCAGAGACGUCGGAGAACCCGACGCAGUCGUUAGAGA